rnacentral:rRNA from 1 species
UACGAAGGGGACUAGCGUUGUUCGGAAUCACUGGGCGUAAAGCGCACGUAGGCGGAUUCGUAAGUCAGGGGUGAAAUCCCGGGGCUCAACCUCGGAACUGCCUUUGAUACUGCGGGUCUUGAGUCCGAUAGAGGUGGGUGGAAUUCCUAGUGUAGAGGUGAAAUUCGUAGAUAUUGGGAAGAACACCGGUGGCGAAGGCGGCUAUCUGGACCGACAUUGACGCUGAGGCGCGAAAGCGUGGGGAGCAAACAGG